GCAGGCGGUGCUGGUUACCGACAGGCUGCCAGCGUCAACCAGGGUGCAGAAGGAACGAGGGCAGGGCUCGGAAAGGGGCUCCUGGGGGGACGCCAAAGCGCGGGAAAUACAGCCCUGAGCGCCAAGGAGCGCUGCUUUCACUUUCGUUUGCUCUGGGACAUCCGAGGAGCUGAGAAGCGGUUUAAAGAAACAAUGUAUGUUUGAGGUGUAACAUCAGGUUAUUUUUUCCUGAUGUGGGAACUCAGUGCAAUAAACUUUCCUCUGAGGACAGCUUUCAUUGCAUCCCACAGAUUCCGGACACAACACAGACCCCAAGGCCAACCAAGGAAAGGCAGGCUAGCAGAAUGGGACUGAGCCUGGAGAACGGUCUUGCUGGACAGACACAAGCACCGGUCCUUCACGGCUCUCCAUCAGCCCAGCCGUUCAUUUCUUCCACUCGUGGGUUACUGUCCGCUUCCUACCGGGACUCACAUCACUUCAGAAGAUGCACAGGAUGCGUCUAAGCUUAUUCCAAGCCCCUUUUUCCCAUUAAAUGAGGCUACUUGCUGCUGA